rnacentral:rRNA from 1 species
AACGUAGGAGACAAACGUUAUCCGGAGUUACUGGGCGUAAAGGGCGUGUAGGUGGUUUCGUAAGUCUGGCGUGAAAUAUCUCGGCUUAACCGAGGCAGGUCGUCGGAUACUGCGGGACUAGAGGACGGUAGAGGCGUGUGGAAUUCCGGGUGUAGUGGUGAAAUGCGUAGAGAUCCGGAGGAACACCUGUGGCGAAGGCGACACGCUGGGCCGUACCUGACACUGAUGCGCGACAGCAUGGGGAGCAAACAGG